rnacentral:rRNA from 1 species
GGUUAAGCGACUAAGCGUACACGGUGGAUGCCCUGGCAGUCAGAGGCGAUGAAGGACGUGCUAAUCUGCGAAAAGCGUCGGUAAGGUGAUAUGAACCGUUAUAGCCGGCGAUGUCCGAAUGGGGAAACCCAGUGCAAUUCGUUGCACUAUCGUUUGAUGAAUACAUAGUCAAACGAGGCGAACCGGGGGAACUGAAACAUCUAAGUACCCCGAGGAAAAGAAAUCAACCGAGAUUCCCCCAGUAGCGGCGAGCGAACGGGGAGCAGCCCGGAGUCUGAAUCAGCUUGUGUGUUAGUGGAAGCGUCUGGAAAGUCGCAGGGUACAGGGUGAUACUCCCGUACACUAAAACACACAGGUUGUGAACUCGAAGAGUAGGGCGGGACACGUGGUAUCCUGUCUGAAUAUGGGGGGACCAUCCUCCAAGGCUAAAUACUCCUGACUGACCGAUAGUGAACCAGUACCGUGAGGGAAAGGCGAAAAGAACCCCGGCGAGGGGAGUGAAAAAGAACCUGAAACCGUGUACGUACAAGCAGUAGGAGCCUCUUUAUGGGGUGACUGCGUACCUUUUGUAUAAUGGGUCAGCGACUUAUAUUCUGUAGCAAGGUUAACCGUAUAGGGGAGCCGCAGGGAAACCGAGUCUUAACUGGGCGUUAAGUUGCAGGGUAUAGACCCGAAACCCGGUGAUCUAGCCAUGGGCAGGUUGAAGGUUGGGUAACACUAACUGGAGGACCGAACCGACUAAUGUUGAAAAAUUAGCGGAUGACUUGUGGCUGGGGGUGAAAGGCCAAUCAAACCGGGAGAUAGCUGGUUCUCCCCGAAAGCUAUUUAGGUAGCGCCUCGUGAAUUCAUCUUCGGGGGUAGAGCACUGUUUCGGCUAGGGGGUCAUCCCGACUUACCAACCCGAUGCAAACUACGAAUACCGAAGAAUGUUAUCACGGGAGACACACGGCGGGUGCUAACGUCCGUCGUGAAGAGGGAAACAACCCAGACCGCCAGCUAAGGUCCCAAAGUCAUGGUUAAGUGGGAAACGAUGUGGGAAGGCCCAGACAGCCAGGAUGUUGGCUUAGAAGCAGCCAUCAUUUAAAGAAAGCGUAAUAGCUCACUGGUCGAGUCGGCCUGCGCGGAAGAUGUAACGGGGCUAAACCAUGCACCGAAGCUGCGGCAGCGACACUAUGUGUUGUUGGGUAGGGGAGCGUUCUGUAAGCCGUUGAAGGUGGCCUGUGAGGGUUGCUGGAGGUAUCAGAAGUGCGAAUGCUGACAUAAGUAACGAUAAUGCGGGUGAAAAACCCGCACGCCGGAAGACCAAGGGUUCCUGUCCAACGUUAAUCGGGGCAGGGUGAGUCGACCCCUAAGGCGAGGCCGAAAGGCGUAGUCGAUGGGAAACAGGUUAAUAUUCCUGUACUCGGUGUUACUGCGAAGGGGGGACGGAGAAGGCUAUGUUGGCCGGGCGACGGUUGUCCCGGUUUAAGCAUGUAGGCGGAUGUUCCAGGUAAAUCCGGAACGUUACUAACGCUGAGGUGUGAUGACGAGGCACUACGGUGCUGAAGUGACAAAUGCCCUGCUUCCAGGAAAAGCCUCUAAGCAUCAGGUAACAUCAAAUCGUACCCCAAACCGACACAGGUGGUCAGGUAGAGAAUACCAAGGCGCUUGAGAGAACUCGGGUGAAGGAACUAGGCAAAAUGGUGCCGUAACUUCGGGAGAAGGCACGCUGAUAUGUAGGUGAAGUGGUUUACCCAUGGAGCUGAAAUCAGUCGAAGAUACCAGCUGGCUGCAACUGUUUAUUAAAAACACAGCACUGUGCAAACACGAAAGUGGACGUAUACGGUGUGACGCCUGCCCGGUGCCGGAAGGUUAAUUGAUGGGGUUAUCCGUAAGGAGAAGCUCUUGAUCGAAGCCCCGGUAAACGGCGGCCGUAACUAUAACGGUCCUAAGGUAGCGAAAUUCCUUGUCGGGUAAGUUCCGACCUGCACGAAUGGCGUAAUGAUGGCCAGGCUGUCUCCACCCGAGACUCAGUGAAAUUGAACUCGCUGUGAAGAUGCAGUGUACCCGCGGCAAGACGGAAAGACCCCGUGAACCUUUACUAUAGCUUGACACUGAACACUGGUCCUUGAUGUGUAGGAUAGGUGGGAGGCUUUGAAGUGUGGACGCCAGUCUGCAUGGAGCCAUCCUUGAAAUACCACCCUUUAAUGGCUGGUGUUCUAACGUGGGCCCCUAAUCGGGGUUGCGGACAGUGUCUGGUGGGUAGUUUGACUGGGGCGGUCUCCUCCUAAAGAGUAACGGAGGAGCACGAAGGUCAGCUAAUCCUGGUCGGACAUCAGGAGGUUAGUGCAAUGGCAUAAGCUGGCUUGACUGCGAGCGUGACGGCGCGAGCAGGUGCGAAAGCAGGUCAUAGUGAUCCGGUGGUUCUGAAUGGAAGGGCCAUCGCUCAACGGAUAAAAGGUACUCCGGGGAUAACAGGCUGAUACCGCCCAAGAGUUCAUAUCGACGGCGGUGUUUGGCACCUCGAUGUCGGCUCAUCACAUCCUGGGGCUGAAGUAGGUCCCAAGGGUAUGGCUGUUCGCCAUUUAAAGUGGUACGCGAGCUGGGUUUAGAACGUCGUGAGACAGUUCGGUCCCUAUCUGCCGUGGGCGCUGGAGAAUUGAGGGGGGCUGCUCCUAGUACGAGAGGACCGGAGUGGACGCAUCACUGGUGUUCGGGUUGUCAUGCCAAUGGCAUUGCCCGGUAGCUAAAUGCGGAAGAGAUAAGUGCUGAAAGCAUCUAAGCACGAAACUUGCCCCGAGAUGAGUUCUCCCUGACUCCUUGAGAGUCCUGAAGGAACGUUGAAGACGACGACGUUGAUAGGCCGGGUGUGUAAGCGCAGCGAUGCGUUGAGCUAACCGGUACUAAUGAACCGUGAGGCUUAACCUU